AGCAGCCGCGGUAAUUCCAGCUCCAAUAGCGUAUAUUAAAGUUGUUGCAGUUAAAAAGCUCGUAGUUGAAUUUCGGGAUUGGCGCAUCGGUCGUGCCUCACGGGGUAUGAACUGGUGCAGUCAAUUUCUCACCUUCUGGAGAACCGCGAUGUCCUUAAUUGGAUGCCGCGGGGAACCAGGACCUUUACUUUGAAAAAUUAGAGUGUUUAAAGCAGGCAUUUUUGCUUGAAUACAUUAGCAUGGAAUAAUAAAAUAGGACGGCAUGGUUCUAUUUUGUUGGUUUCUAGGACCACCGUAAUGAUUAAUAGGGAUAGUUGGGGGCAUUAGUAUUCAAUUGUCAGAGGUGAAAUUCUUGGAUUUAUUGAAGACUAACUACUGCGAAAGCAUUUGCCAAGGAUGUUUUCAUUAAUCAAGAACGAAAGUUAGGGGAUCGAAGACGAUCAGAUACCGUCGUAGUCUUAACCAUAAACU
rnacentral:misc_RNA from 1 species